rnacentral:rRNA from 1 species
CAGUCCACCUGGGGAGUACGUUCGCAAGAAUGAAACUCAAAGGAAUUGACGGGGACCCGCACAAGCGGUGGGGCAUGUGGUUUAAUUCGAAGCAACGCGAAGAACCUUACCUGCCCUUGACAUCCCGGUGACCGCAGAGUAAUGUCUGCUUUCCUUCGGGACACUGGAGACAGGUGGUGCAUGGUUGUCGUCAGCUCGUGUCGUGAGAUGUUGGGUUAAGUCCCGCAACGAGCGCAACCCUUAUCUUCAGUAGCCAGCGGUCCGGCCGGGCACUCUGGAGAGACUGCCAGGGAUAACCUGGAGGAAGGUGGGGAUGACGUCAAAUCAUCAUGCCCCUUAUGGGCAGGGCUACACACGUGCUACAAUGGCGUAAACAAAGGGAAGCGAUACUGCGAAGUUGAGCAAAUCCCAAAAAUAACGUCUCAGUUCGGAUUGUAGUCUGCAACUCGACUACAUGAAGCUGGAAUCGCUAGUAAUCGCGAAUCAGAAUGUCGCGGUGAAUACGUUCCCGGGUCUUGUACACACCGCCCGUCACACCAUGGGAGUCAGUAACGCCCGAAGUCAGUGACCCAACCGCAAGGAGGGAGCUGCCGAAGGCGGGACCGAUAACUGGGGUGAAGUCGUAACA